rfam:Clostridium butyricum E4 str. BoNT E BL5262 CLP.Contig69, whole genome shotgun sequence.
AUAGAUAACUAGGGGAGCUUUUGCUGAGAUUGGAAUAAAUUCCUAAACCCUUAUGACCUGAUUUGGUUAAGACCAACGUAGGGAAGUGCAGAAUUAAUUAG